rnacentral:rRNA from 1 species
UACAGAGGGUGCGAGCGUUAAUCGGAAUUACUGGGCGUAAAGCGCGCGUCGGCGGCUUUGCAAGUCGGGUGUGAAAUCCCCAGGCUUAACCUGGGAACUGCAUUCGAGACUGCAUUGCUAGAGUAUGGGAGAGGGAAGUGGAAUUUCCGGUGUAGCGGUGAAAUGCGCAGAUAUCGGGAGGAACACCAGUAGCGAAGGCGGCUCGCUGGGCCAUACCUGACGCUGAGACGCGAAAGCGUGGGGAGCAAACAGG